AUCUACGGCCAUACCACCCUGAAUGCACCCGAUCUCAUCUGAUCUCAGAAGCUAAGCAGUGUCUGGCCGGGUUAAUACUUGGAAGGGAGAUAAAGAGUUAUUUCUU
rfam:Fukomys damarensis contig154533, whole genome shotgun sequence.